rnacentral:rRNA from 1 species
GCGCUUUUGGAGCGGCCGAUGUCUGAUUAGCUAGUUGGUGAGGUAAAGGCUUACCAAGGCGUCGAUCAGUAGCUGGUCUGAGAGGACGACCAGCCACACUGGGACUGAGACACGGCCCAGACUCCUACGGGAGGCAGCAGUGGGGAAUUUUGGACAAUGGGGGAAACCCUGAUCCAGCCAUGCCGCGUGAGUGAAGAAGGACUUCGGGUUGUAAAGCUCUUUCAGCCGGAACGAAACGGUCACGGCUAAUAUCCGUGACAACUGACGGUACCGGAAGAAGAAGCACCGGCUAACUACGUGCCAGCAGCCGCGGUAAUACGUAGGGUGCGAGCGUUAAUCGGAAUUACUGGGCGUAAAGCGUGCGCAGGCGGUUUUGUAAGUCAGAUGUGAAAUCC